ensembl:lncRNA
UUUCCUCUCUAAUGGCUGUUUAUUUAUAGCAUUGGAACAUGAGGCAAGUGUAGGCCCACUGACUGUCUUCACAUGGAAAAAUGACCUGGGAGUGUUUGUGCCCCCUGGAGUGAAGGAAGGCAUUCCUCACUUUUCUUCUGCUAGAGGCAAGAAGCCAAUACCACAUGACCGCCUCUGGGAAAAUGAAGUCUAUGCCGGCAUGGGUUUGUAUACUUUCUCAGAUAACUCUGUGCAGCAAUACCAUGUCUUGGGUCUAACUUUAAAAUUGCGUAUUGUCAGAUGCUGAAGAGGGUAGUAGUCACAGGCAUAGAAAAGGAUUAGCUUAAAGAUCGGAGAGAGAGAGGGGAAAAAUAAAUUUCUCUGCAGUGGAAGGCAUUCUAUUCUAACUGUCUGAGUCUUUGAUCUGCCUUCUCUGCAACUGAAGCAUAUCAGACAUCUGAGCUACAUAUGAUCGUAUUCUAUAACUCUUAAAGCACAAUGAUUAAGUGAAUUCAUUCCAACAUGCAUGUUUGUCCAAUGGCAUCAUACCCUACUCAAGAUGAAGGUUCAAUUUUUUUUAUAUGGUACCUUUCCUAUGCUCAAGGUCUCCUCCCCCCCCCCCCCCAUUGGAACAAACUGACCAAUUUUAUAACAAGACUGUGCUAAUGGGUACAUUUCAUUCAAACGCUGGUGCUGUGAUCAUGUAAUGAAAACAGAUUUAGGAGUGUUUAAGGAGGAUGGUGAAGGUGUUCCAAACUUUGGUUGUGAACAUGGUUUAGGAGCAACCACUCAAUGAUUGACUACUAUGGGUGAUCAGUAUAAACAAAUGGACUUUCCAAAGGUUUAGACUUAUUGAAUGCAAGGUUUCAAUCUGGGCACUGGGGGGGGGGGGGGGUGUUUAAAUAUAAAUUUGGUCUCUUGUACCCAGAGGCAGAUGAGGGAAAUGAUGCCUUUGGGCCCACAAAUUCUCCAGUUGCCUUGCCCACCUCUGGGUCUCAGCUGUGGGAAAUGGAGAUGACUGCAGCAGAAGCUUUGCACACUGUUAAUACGACUUCAAGCCAGAGACAUGCAGUCACAGGACCUAGUCUUCUGGUUGCCAACCCUGCAAUGGAGAGAGAGCAGUCUACAGACACAGUACCUUCCAUCUAUGGCUCCAACAGCUCAAUGUUAAAACCUGCACAGCUGAAAACCAAGCUAGAGACUACAACCUCCACGGAGACUAAGCAAACAGUUGCCGAAGACAGCCAUGGAAGUACACAAAAAGGAAGUGGUGGACAGUUUGUGAAAUAAACAUUCCAA